rnacentral:rRNA from 1 species
UACGUAGGUGGCAAGCGUUAUCCGGAAUUACUGGGCGUAAAGCGCACGCAGGCGGCGCGUUAAGUCUGACGUGAAAGAACCCGGCUUAACUGGGGGAGGUCGUUGGAGACUGGCGGGCUUGAGGGAAUGAGAGGGGUGCGGAAUUCCCGGUGUAGUGGUGGAAUGCGUAGAUAUCUGGAGGAACACCGGUGGCGAAGGCGGCGUCCUGGACCAAUACUGACACUGAGGAGCGAAAGCCAGGGGAGCAAACGGG